AUUGAACGCUGGCGGCAGGCCUAACACAUGCAAGUCGAGCGGAUGAAGGGAGCUUGCUCCUGGAUUCAGCGGCGGACGGGUGAGUAAUGCCUAGGAAUCUGCCUGGUAGUGGGGGAUAACGUCCGGAAACGGGCGCUAAUACCGCAUACGUCCUGAGGGAGAAAGUGGGGGAUCUUCGGACCUCACGCUAUCAUAUGAGCCUAGGUCGGAUUAGCUAGUUGGUGGGGUAAAGGCCUACCAAGGCGACGAUCCGUAACUGGUCUGAGAGGAUGAUCAGUCACACUGGAACUGGGACACGGUCCAGACUCCUACGGGAGGCAGCAGUGGGGAAUAUUGGACAAUGGGCGAAAGCCUGAUCCAGCCAUGCCGCGUGUGUGAAGAAGGUCUUCGGAUUGUAAAGCACUUUAAGUUGGGAGGAAGGGCAGUAAGUUAAUACCUUGCUGUUUUGACGUUACCAACAGAAUAAGCACCGGCUAACUUCGUG
rnacentral:rRNA from 1 species